AUUGAACGCUGGCGGCAUGCCUCACACAUGCAAGUCGAACGGUAACAGGUUAAGCUGGCGAGUGGCGAACGGGUGAGUAAUAUAUCGGAACGUGCCCAACUGUGGGGGAUAACUACUCGAAAGAGUGGCUAAUACCGCAUACGACCUGAGGGUGAAAGCAGGGGAUCGCAAGACCUCGCGCAGAUGGAGCGGC
rnacentral:rRNA from 1 species